CCUUUAAAAAAAAAGGAGACAGCAACAGCCUUUGGGGAGGGUGGGGUUUAGACCCACUUGAGCA
rnacentral:tRNA from 1 species